GAUCAGCACGCCGGGGUGAAUGCGUUCCCGGGGAUUGUACACACCGCCCGUCAAGCCAUGAGAGUUGGGGGUACUCGAAGUCGGUCACGCCAACCCGCAAGGGAAGCGUCCGCCUAAGGUAAAACCAAUGACUGGGGUUAAGUCGUAACAAGGUAGCCCUACGAGAACGUGGGGCUGGAUCACCUCCUUU
rnacentral:rRNA from 1 species